AUGAAUUCCUACCACAGCCAUAUCUACUUUACAUAAUUGCAACCUUUCCACAUAAGCUAUUUGCUUUGUGUUGAGUGUCGUCAAGUCUUGUUGACCCUUGUUAAGAGACUUUUCAUGCUCCUAAGAUCAAGAUCACGUACACACCACAUAUAUAUAUGUUGCUUCUACACUGGAAGUACGCAACCACAUGUAUUUCGCAUCCACUAAAUAGGUUGCUCCAUACUCUAAAUGUUAGAACAUCUCUCUAAGCAUUAUUUGGUAAGAGACAUCAAAAGGCUAGGCAAAAUGAAAUAAAAAGAUGGACAUGUGCAAGUCCAUAGAAAAAGAAAAUUGAGCACAUGAAAGCUCAUAUAUAAAAAAAAAGAAAAAAAAAUGCUAGCCAUGUCUCAAUACAUAGAGAGUCUAUCAAAUAAAGGAGCAACCUAGUCCACCAUAUAUCACACUUGCACAUCUUGAUCUGGGAGUAUGACACUUCUCUUCAAGGAUCCGAGCUUUGACUUCGCAAUACAUGCAAAGUAAGUAUGCUAUCUCCUUUCAUCCCUACCUUGAACUCCACAUAAGCCUUUUAGAAAUAGGAUGAAAUAGAGAAGGCAACUCUUACCAUAUGCCUUGGUGAGGAAUCAUACACCAUUUGAGUGACAUGAGAGAACCAUAAGAGGAACAUUUAAGCUUUCUUUUGAAAAUAUCACAAAACCUCUGAUAUGAAACUUGCUAAGAAUGAGAAAGUUAGUGCUCAAGUCAAACUGUUCUGUCUCUCAACCACCUAAGACAAAGGAAAAGCCAUAAGCCCCAUAAGGGACUAAGGUAAUAGGGGUAAGUUUACAUAGCUAAAUUUUUCAUGCAAAGAGAAGAACUUUGUUGUACACAUGGUACUCUUGAAAUGUGAACAUAGUAACAAUACCUGAUCCACUGAGGCUAAGUUUGAUUGUUUGCUCGGGACGAGCAAAGGUUAAGCUUGGGGGAUCUUGUUGACGGUGGAUAUACCAUAGAAAUCCACAUACAAAACACUGUCAACAUGCCUCGGUUGCAAGAGGAAAUGACAUGACAUGAACAUAUUUUAUCCAUAACUAGUUGCACUUGUACUCUUAGCUUGUUUAUGCAGGAACAACAAAUUCAAGACAUUAUUUGACAAAGCCAACAUCAGAAUCAUCAAGAGGAGAUCGAGGGGACAACAGGUGACACCC
rnacentral:lncRNA from 1 species